rnacentral:rRNA from 1 species
UACGUAGGGGGCUAGCGUUGUCCGGAUUUAUUGGGCGUAAAGAGCGUGUAGGCGGCCAGGUAGGUCUGGUGUGAAAACUCGAGGCUUAACCUCGAGAUGUCAUCGGAAACCAUCUGGCUAGAGUCCGGAAGAGGAGAGUGGAAUUCCCGGUGUAGCGGUGAAAUGCGCAGAUAUCGGGAAGAACACCCCGUGGCUAAGGCGGCUCUCUAGUACGGUACUGACGCUGAGACGCGAAAGCGUGGGGAGCGAACAGG